AUACGUAGGUGGCAAGCGUUGUCCGGAAUUACUGGGUGUAAAGGGUGCGCAGGCGGGGCGGCAAGUUGGAUGUGAAAUCUCCUGGCUCAACUGGGAGGCUGCAUUCAAAACUGUCGUUCUUGAGUGAGGUAGAGGCAGGCGGAAUUCCCGGUGUAGCGGUGAAAUGCGUAGAGAUCGGGAGGAACACCAGUGGCGAAGGCGGCCUGCUGGGCCUUUACUGACGCUGAGGCACGAAAGCAUGGGUAGCAAACAGGAUUAGAUACCCUGGUAGUCCAUGCCGUAAACGAUGAUUGCUAGGUGUGGGGGGACUGACCCCUUCCGUGCCGGAGUCAACACAAUAAGCAAUCCACCUGGGGAGUACGGCCGCAAGGUUGAA
rnacentral:rRNA from 1 species